UGUCCCAGUUGUUAAUAAUGAGGGUGCUCCUUUGCCACUAAUUUGUGGUGGUGGUUGGAGAAUUAGGUGUAUCUGUGGCUGCAGGUUGGACUGAAAUAGCAAAUAAUUUUAUUCACAGUAGGAUCACAUUAAGUGUACAUAGAAUGCUGGAUUAGCUCAUUAUACCCGUAAUCUGGUGAGUCACAAUGUGGCAUAAUGGAUGUAUGUGUAUAAACCACCAUGUCAGAAGAUGGCAAUAAUCGAUGACAACCUUUAAUGUGUGUGUUAUUGUGUCUGAUCAUCACCGAAUAAAAUUGCUUGGAAGCCAUAUUUAUCAGAUUGCUGUUACCUGUUCCAGACAUCAUCAGUACAUAUUGAGAGGAAGAUUUCCGGUCAUUCCUCUGAUAAUUCCCCAGAUCAAAAAUCAAAUAUGCCCAUAGGGGCAAAUAUAGGUGUCCUCACUGAAUGUACAACAAUUUUAAAUGCUGUUCCACAAAGAAUGAGGUGAAUCUCUUCGCUGCGGUCUGCUCCACCUGAAAAUUAGAUUCUGGACUUCCCAAAAGGGCAGGAAAUUUAUUUCAUAGUUAAUCUUCUUUUAUAAAAUGAUGUAACUGAAACAUAUAAGUCUGUUUUAAAACACUAUUAUUGCAUCACAAGAUACAAAACUGACUCUUACAAGAUCUUAAACAACACUGACUGAAUUUGGGUGUUGGUGCUGAGAUUAAGUGAACAGUAAUGACAAAUAGGUUUUACUG